CCUACGGGGGGCAGCAGUGAGGAAUAUUGGUCAAUGGACGAGAGUCUGAACCAGCCAAGUAGCGUGAAGGAUGACUGCCCUAUGGGUUGUAAACCUCUUUUAUAUGGGAAUAAAACGUUCCACGUGUGGGAUUUUGUAUGUACCAUAUGAAUAAGGAUCGGCUAACUCCGUGCCAGCAGCCGCGGUAAUACGGAGGAUCCGAGCGUUAUCCGGAUUUAUUGGGUUUAAAGGGAGCGUAGGUGGAUUGUUAAGUCAGUUGUGAAAGUUUGCGGCUCAACCGUAAAAUUGCAGUUGAAACUGGCAGUCUUGAGUACAGUAAAGGUGGGCGGAAUUCGUGGUGUAGCGGUGAAAUGCUUAGAUAUCACGAAGAACUCCGAUUGCGAAGGCAGUUCACUGGACUGCAACUGACACUGAGGCUCGAAAGUGUGGGUAUCAAACAGGAUUAGAUACCCGUGUAGUC
rnacentral:rRNA from 1 species